ensembl:misc_RNA predicted gene, 27987
UUGAGAAGUACCCUCCUCUUUUCUUUUGAGGUCACUCACGCAUAGGAUCUGGCAAAUGCUAAACCCUUUUUCAAAAAUAGCUUCCCUAGAGCC